UCCAGUUUAUCCUGCUGGUGGUUGCGGCUAUCUGGCUUGCACUUAGACAUGCAAGUUUUUCGUGAGAAAGCAAACUGCUCAGUAACACGUAGCUAACCUAACUUUAGGUCAUGAAUAAUCUCGGGAAACUGAGUGUAAAACAUGAUAGAAGAUGAUUUCUGGAAGGAGUUCUCUUUGAAACUCGUGCCUAAAGAUGGGGCUGCGGCGGAUUAGGUAGUUGGCGGGGUAAAGGCCCACCAAGCCAGUGAUCCGUAAGGGUUCUUAGCGGAAGAGCCCUGAGAUGGAAUCUUAGACACUAUUCCAAGCCCUACGGGGUGCAGCAGUCGGGGAUAUUUUCCAAUGCGCGCAAGCGUGAGAAAGCGAGCCAGAGUGUUUUUCCUUUUAGGAAAAACUUUUGCCAGCUUUAAAAAGGCUGGCGAAUAAGGACUGGGCAAGACUGGUGCCAGCCGCCGCGGUAAUCCCAGCGGUCCGAGUCGCAACCUCAAUUAUUGGGUCUAAAACAUCUGUAGCUUGUUUGUUAAGUCUCUUGUGAAAUCCGACAUCUUAAGUGUCGGGCGUGCAAGAGAUACUGGCAGACUAGAGACUGGAGGAUGUAAGGAGUACAUUCGAGGAAGUGGUAAAAUACGUUGAUCUCGGCUGGACUAACAAUAGCGAAGGCACCUUACAAUGACAGUUCUGACAGUGAGAGAUGAAGGCUAGGGUCGCGAAAUGGAUUAGAUACCCAUGUAGUCCUAGCAGUAAACACUGCGCACUAAACAUCGGGGUCUCCUCGAGAGACUACGGUGCUGUAGCGAAGGCGAAGAGUGCGCUACCUGGGAAGUAUAGACGCAAGUCCGAAACUUAAAGGAAUUGGCGGGGGAGCACUACAACGGGUGACGCGUACGGUUCAAUUAGAUUCUACACCGUGAACCUCACCAGGACCGACAGCAGAAUGAAGGACAGUCUGAAGGGCUUUCCUGACACGCUGAGAGGAGUUGCAUGGCCGACGUCAGCCUGUGUCGUGAGAUGACCUGUUAAAUCAGGUAACAGGCGAGACCCGCGUGUAUAGUUGCUAUCUGAUGAAGAGGCACUCUAUACAGACUGCGUUCGCAAGAACGAGGAAGGUGCGGGCUACGUUAGGUGAGUACGGCCCUUAUGCCCUGGGCAACACGCGCGCGGCAAUGCUGCAUUCAAUGGGAUGCAACCCCGAAAGGGGAAGCUAAUCUCAUAAUAUGCAGCCAAGUUCAGAUUGAGGAUUGAAACUCAGCCUCAUGACGCUGGAAUCCGUAGUAAUUGUUCUUUAUCAGAGAACAGUGAAUAAGUCCCUGCUCCUUGCACACACCGCCCGUCAAACCAACCGAGUUUUUGCAUUGAUGAGGCUUUUCGAAGACGAGUCUUUGUAAGACAAGGUAGGUUAAGUCGACACAAGGU
rnacentral:rRNA from 1 species